UAACAUAGGCCAUGGAUGACGGUACCGGACUAAGAAGCACCGGCUAACUACGUGCAGCAGCCGCGGUAAUACGUAGGGUGCGAGCGUUAAUCGGAAUUACUGGGCGUAAAGCGUGCGCAGGCGGUUUUGUAAGACAGAUGUGAAAUCCCCGGGCUUAACCUGGGAACUGCGUUUGUGACUGCAAGGCUAGAGUACGGCAGAGGGGGGUGGAAUUCCUGGUGUAGCAGUGAAAUGCGUAGAGAUCAGGAGGAACACCGAUGGCGAAGGCAGCCCCCUGGGCCUGUACUGACGCUCAUGCACGAAAGCGUGGGGAGCAAACAGGAUUAGAUACCCUGGUAGUCCACGCCCUAAACGAUGUCGACUAGUCGUUCGGAGCAGCAAUGCACUGAGUGACGCAGCUAACGCGUGAAGUCGACCGCCUGGGGAGUACGGCCGCAAGGUUAAAACUCAAAGGAAUUGACGGGGG
rnacentral:rRNA from 1 species